AUAUGUGCAUACAUAAUGUGGACACUGGCUAGGUUUGAAGUGAGAGUAGAGUUGUAAAUUGCUUUCUGAGAAAUCGGAUCAUACUUUGUUACUUGGUAGAGUUUAAGCACUCUGGAUCACAAUUUUUGGUUGAAAUUCAAGAAAUUGAUUCGUCUCAUGGGAAUUGGGUAUUUUGCAUGAUUUUCACCAUGACGCGUAAGUCAACCAGUCUUCUUGUGUACUAUUUCCUCCUGGUUUCCAUUAUCUUGGCUGCCACCUGGAGUCCUGUAGCGGCACAAGAUCCACCUGAACCUUCCACAGAUCAGGAGAAACAGGCCACAAACGUUCUGGUGAUAACAUGUCCCAGAGGUCAACAUUACUCGCAGCAUCAAGGCAGAUGUGUCAGAAGAUCAAGCAGACCAGGGAGACGAUGAAUACGUGAAUUCUGAUUUGUUAAUAAAAUUUAAAGAAACCAUCAAAGAGUUCAAUUUACAAAAAACGGGGGAGUCGGAGAAGCUAUGUAUUUCUCAAUUGUAUCAAUAAAAACUUAUCCUUUCACCAGUUCAUGCAUA